rnacentral:rRNA from 1 species
UACGUAGGCAGCGAGCGUUGUUCGGAAUUACUGGGCGUAAAGAGUGCGUAGGCGGUGCUCUAAGUUCGGUGCGAAAUCUCCUGGCUCAACUGGGAGGGUGCGUCGGAAACUGGAGUGCUUGAGCGUGGGAGAGGAAAGCGGAAUUCCUGGUGUAGCGGUGAAAUGCGUAGAUAUCAGGAGGAACACCUGUGGUGUAGACGGCUUUCUGGACCAUAGCUGACGCUGAGACACGAAAGCGUGGGUAGCAAACAGG